CGUGUUCCCGAAACCCGACCCACCUUUUCGUCUCUCUCUCUCUCUCUCGCUCCGGUCAAUAUCCGCCCCUUCCCAUCAGUUCUGUCACCCCGGAGAUCGAUCGACGAUCACCGACCGCCUCCUCCUCAAUGGACGAGUUUUCCGGCAUCCUCGAUCGUGAUUUCGGGCUCCGGCCGCAGGGCAAGUCUACCCCCAUAGCCUCCCCCAGCACCGCCGCCACCGUAGGAGGAGGGCGCGGAGAAGGCCCAAACCUUUGGUCCGUCCGGGACGGAUCCUCCGACUCGACCUCCUCGUGGGAGAAUCCAUCAUCCGGCUGGAACUCCGCCUCGAUCGGCGACCCCUUCCUCCGGGAUCGCGGAGCUGGCAUCUCGAAGGAUUAUGAUUAUGUCUUCGUAGGCGUUCCUGCGAACUCGAGUUGGUCCUCUCGUGGACAGUAUGCCUCGUCUUCAUCGCCGUCGAACUUUGACUCCAUAUUCAACGGCUUUGCGGAUUCCGGGACGAAGUCCUCGUCAUCUUUGCCCGUGUACGAUAAGCCGGUAUAUGACGACGAUAUAUUCGACGGGGUUCCUGGCACGAAGAGCUCGUCAUCGGUUAAGUAUGACGAUGCUUUUGCUUCCCUUUCAUCAGGAUCUAAUCAUGUUUCCGCACCACCGUAUGAGGAUCUCCUUGAGAACCUGGGGAAGCAAAUGCCGGAGUCAAGAGCCGGUAGUGAUAAGAGAUCUGGGGAGAAGGAGGAGCAGGAUAUGUCAGGGUUCGAUGAGCUAAUUCCUGGAUUCGGUAGGAGCAGCCCACCGAAGAAAAGGGAAGACCAAGAGGUUAGCCAACAGAUGUCAGAUAUCUCAUUAGAUAAACCAGCUACCAGCAAGUCUGAAGAUUCCUUUGUUAUUUUAGAAUCAGUAUCUAACUCAAAAUAUUCAUCAUCUGGGUUGUUCUCUAACCCUUUAAAAAAUAUUAGUGAGCCUAUGAACUUUGGAAGCAUGCGAGUUGACACUUCUCCUGUUAGUGAGACAAUAUUUGAUGAUGUUAAUGCUUUUGAUGGAAUCUCAAAAUCAGUGCCACUAUCGCAGCAGGUGCAGUCUACAAAAUCUUCUGACUUGCAAAAUACUGUUGGUAGAAAUGGUAUUCAAAAUAUGGACACCUAUGGAAAAAACACCACGGUGGAUCAAUCCCCAGAGUUUAAUCAGCCUAUUGAAACCAGAGAUGACAUCUGGCUUACUGUUUCAGAAAUUCCCCUUCAGACUCAACCUACCAGUGCUCCGCCACCUUCAAGACCGCCACCUCCACUUGUCAUCAAGAAAGCUCCUCUUGGUGCUUAUACAAAAAGGAAGGAAAAUGAAUCUUUCCAUGAUUCUACGCAGAGCCAUCCUUACACUGAAAAAUCAGCUAAGCCAGCUUCAGUUGAUGAACUUGAAGAUUUUGCUAUGGGUAAACCUAAAACAUAUACUCAAGUAACUCAACAUCAUGAAGACUUUUUCUUCAACGGAGAAGAAUUACAGAAAAAAUUAGCUGCAGAAGCUGCUAUGAAGGAGGCCAUGCAUAGAGCUGAGGCAAGGUUCAAACAUGCUAAGGAGGCUAGGGGAAUAGAUCGUGGUGCCAAAGUUUCAAGGAACGAAGAAUAUAUAGAUGAAAAAAAAAAUCUAGAUGGUGAGGAUCUAGAAGACACACAGAGACAAGAAGGAUCAGACCACGAGCGAACACUGAAGGAAAGGGAGGCAAAAGAAGAGGAAAAGAGACUAGAAAAGGAGAGAGAGCAAGAAGUUGAUAGGGAAAGAGAAAAGGCUAGACAAGCUGCAGCAAGGGCUAUAAGAGAGGCAAGGGAUAGAGCAGGUGCUGAAGCUCGACUAAAAGCUGAGAGGGCAGCUGCUGAAACACGUCAACGAGCUGAGAGAGCAGCAGUGCAGAGAGCAGCUGCUGAGGCACGUGAAAGGGCUGCAGCAGUGGCUAUAGAAAGAGCUGAAAAGGCAGCUGUAGAAGCGAGGGAAAAGGCUGCUGCAGAAGCAAAGGAAAGGGAAAGGGCUGCUGCAGAACUGAGGGAAAAGGCAGCUGCAGAGGCCAGGGAAAAGACUGCUGCAGAAGCAAGGGAGAAGGCUGCAGCUGAAGCACGAACUGCCGUAGAGAGAGCCGCAGCAGAAGCACGGCUAAGAGCCCAAAGAGCUGCAGUAGAAAGAGCUGCCGCAGAAGCUCGGGAAAGGGCUGCUGCAGCAGCUCGAGAAAGGGCUGCUACUUCUGCUGCUGCCGCUGUCAGAGAACAUCAGAAAGUAGAAAAUGAUCUAGAGUCGUUCUUCAGCAUGGGUGGUGCUCGAGCAAGUAGUGCACAUACCUCAUCAGAAACUAUGUUUGAUGUUAAAGAUCAGAACAAAGGGAGUUCUGAUGGAACAAGGAGAACAUCCUCAGGUUCCUCAUCUACCAUUAGAAAGGCAUCUUCCACAACUAAUAUUGUUGGUGACCUGACUUCCAUUUUUGGAGGCCCCCCAUCAUCUGGCAAAUUUCAAGAAGUUGAAGGAGAGAGUGAAAAAAGAAGAGCAGCCAGACUUGAGCGUCAUCAGAGGACACAGGAACUUGCGGCAAAAGCUCUGGCUGAGAAAAAUGAGCGUGAUAUGCAAAUUCAGAGAGAGCAGGCUGAAAGACAUAGGAUUGCCGAAGCAUUAGAUAUAGAGAUAAAACGAUGGGCUGCUGGAAAAGAAGGCAAUUUGCGUGCCUUGCUAUCAACACUACAAUAUGUGCUUUGGCCUGAAUGCGGCUGGCAACCUGUAUCUUUGACUGAUUUGAUUACUGCUGCUGCGGUCAAAAAGGUUUAUAGAAGAGCUACUUUGUGCGUCCAUCCUGAUAAGGUGCAGCAAAAAGGUGCAACUCUUCAACAAAAGUAUAUUGCUGAGAAGGUUUUUGAUCUCCUCAAGUGAACAGUUUGGAGAUCAGGUGAUGGCCUUCAAAAGUUGGAACUUACAUCUCAUUACUAGCCAGCGGACUUCAAACUAUUACCUGCUUUAUAAACGCUGUUAAAACUUGGCAUGAAGCUUGGAACAAGUUAAACUCUGAAGAACUCUUUUAACAAGUCCACGAGAUGACUCUCUGCUGCAUGAGCUACUGCAAGGAUAAGUAUGUGAUCAUAUUGAGUAAAGCCUUAGUGUGCUCUUUAUUUAUUAUAUUCUUUGUACUUCCUGUAUGAGUUGAUCAGUGUUGCCCUAUAGACGCCUGCUGCAGUAUAAAUCAGUUUUCUGUUUGACUGAUGGAAAUGAAUGCCCCUUUUUUUUUUU